GAUGAAGAACGUAGCGAAAUGCGAUAAGUAAUGUGAAUUGCAGAAUUCAGUGAAUCAUCGAAUCUUUGAACGCACAUUGCGCCCGCCAGUAUUCUGGCGGGCAUGCCUGUUCGAGCGUCAUUUCAACCAUCAAGCCCCCGGCUUGUGUUGGGGACCUGCCGCUGCCGCAGGCCCUGAAAACCAGUGGCGGGCUCGCUAGUCACUCCGAGCGUAGUAAUACAUCUCGCUCAGGGCGUGCUGCGGGUUCCGGCCGUUAAAAGCCUUAUUUUACCCAAGGUUGACCUCGGAUCAGGUAGGAAGACCCGCUGAACUUAAGCAUAUCAAUAAGCGGAGGA
rnacentral:misc_RNA from 1 species